GACGAACGCUGGCGGCGUGCUUAACACAUGCAAGUCGAACGGAAAGGCCUGCUUUCCCUUGUGGAUUGCGGGUACUCGAGUGGCGAACGGGUGAGUAACACGUGAGUGAUCUGCCCCCAACUUGGGUAUAAGCCUGGGAAACUGGGUCUAAUUCCCGAUAGGACUGCAGGGUGGUGCCUGUGGUGGAAAACGAUUUUCUAGUGGUUGGGGAUGAGCUCGCGGCCUAUCAGCUUGUUGGUGGGGUAAUGGCCUACCAAGGCGGCGACGGGUAGCCGGCCUGGGGGGGUGGGCGGCCACAUUUGGAAUGAGAUACGGCCCCGACUCCUAAGGGAGGCAGCAGUGGGGAAUAUUGCACAAUGGGCGGAAGCCUGAUGCAGCGACGCCGCGUGGGGGAUGACGGCCUUCGGGUUGUAAACUCCUUUCGACCGCGAGGAAGCCACCUGGUUGGAAGGGUGGUGACGGUAGUGGUAGAAGAAGCACCGGCCAACUACGUG
rnacentral:rRNA from 1 species